GACGGAGGAGGCAAGCGUUGUCCGGAAUUAUUGGGCGUAAAGAGCGCGUAGGCGGUUUUCCAAGUCAUAUGUGAAAACUUUAGGCUUAACCUAAAGAUUGCAUGUGAAACUGGAUAACUAGAGUACGGCAGAGGAAAGUGGAAUUCCUGGUGUAGCGGUGAAAUGCGCAGAUAUCAGGAAGAACACCAGUGGCGAAGGCGGCUUUCUAGGCCGUUACUGACGCUGAGGCGCGAAAGCUAGGGGAGCGAACAGGAUUAGAUACCCCUGUAGUCCCU
rnacentral:rRNA from 1 species